UGCCCUAUCGUCUAACGGCAGGACAGCGGUUUUUGGUACCGUACGUCUAGGUUCGAAUCCUAGUAGGGCAA
rnacentral:tRNA from 1 species